rnacentral:tRNA from 1 species
GCUCUGGUGGUGGAAUGGUAGACACGCAGGACUUAAAAUCCUGUGGACCUUAAAGUCCGUGCGGGUUCGAGUCCCGCCCGGAGUA